rnacentral:rRNA from 1 species
GACGAACGCUGGCGGCGUGCUUAACACAUGCAAGUCGAGCGACUGCAUUCUUUUCGGAGGGUGUAUGGAGCGGCGAACGGGUGAGUAACACGUGAGUAAUCUGCCUUUGGCUUGGGAAUAACUUCGGGAAAUCGGGGCUAAUGCCUGAUGUUUACUGUCUGCUGCAUGGUGGGUGGUGGAAAGAUUUUUUGGCCAGGGAUGAGCUCGCGGUCUAUCAGCUUGNGGUUGGGGUAA